UACGUAGGGUGCAAGCGUUGUCCGGAAUCAUUGGGCGUAAAGAGCUCGUAGGCGGUCUGUCGCGUCUGCUGUGAAAACCUGGGCUUAACCCCGGCUUGCAGUGGGUACGGGCAGACUAGAGUGCGGUAGGGGAGACUGGAAUUCCUGGUGUAGUGGUGAAAUGCGCAGAUAUCAGGAGGAACACCGGUGGCGAAGGCGGGGUCUCUGGGCCGUAACUGACGCUGAGGAGCGAAAGCAUGGGUAGCGAACAGG
rnacentral:rRNA from 1 species